rnacentral:misc_RNA from 1 species
AGUGCUUAAUUAUGUUAUCAAACACUCCCCUUAGUACAUGUUUGGUAUAAUGUCAUUCAGUGUAAUGAAAUGAAAUGACUUUUUAGUUCUUUUUUUUAUUAUUAUUAUUGAAUUUAUGUUUGAUUAUAUUCCAUUAUGUUCAAUUACAUACCACAAAACAAGCAUUUACAGUAUUAUGAUUACUUUCCGAUUUCGUAACCACCUAAGCUUGUAAAGCUUUAGUAUCAUGUUUUCGGUGAUGA